CACAACAUUUUUCCAUUUUUACUUGUAGGGAUUCUGGAGAAACAAAGACUUUCCUCUUCAUGUCAUAACUGCUUGGAGGUUCUCCUGACCUUUGUUUGCCCCUCCCAUUUUUCCAGAAUAUCCCCUGGUCUGAGGGAAGGAGCCCUUCCCUGGGAAGGGAACUUGAACCCAUCCAGAGCAGGAACUGAAGGGAGCCUGACAUCUCUUGCUUUCCAGGACUUAAGUGCUAAGCCCAUGUGAGCUGUGCCUGCACUAAAAAAAACUGCAAGACUCAGUACAGGAGAAGCAAUCAAGGAUGGAGUGACAACAAAAGCACCAGAUGCCACUGAUGCCUCUUCCACACUUCAGUCUCCAGGCAUCACAGCAACAAGGAACCCUUCUGACUCCAGGGUUUCCUAGUAAAGACACAUUUGAAGAGGCACAGUCACUCUCCUAAGAGAUAAAAAUAAAAUGCUGAUACAUUCUAUUGUCAAAUAAGUCUGUAAGAUCAGAAUUACACAGUGUUAGGGUAUUUUACUCCAGUUAUACAGCCUAGAUCACAUUCAGCUGCCCAUUU